rnacentral:rRNA from 1 species
UACGGAGGUGGCAAGCGUUGCUCGGAAUCACUGGGCGUAAAGGGCGCGUAGGCGGGGAGGUAAGUCGGGUGUGAAAUCCCUCGGCCCAACCGAGGAACUGCGCCCGAGACUGCUUCUCUUGAGUCCCGGAGAGGAAGGUGGAAUUCCCGGUGUAGCGGUGAAAUGUGUAGAGAUCGGGAGGAACACCGGUGGCGAAGGCGGCCUUCUGGACGGUGACUGACGCUGAAACGCGAAAGCGUGGGGAGCAAACAGG